GAAUGUACCAUGCUGAAUAUACCGGUUCUCGUUAGAUCACCGAAGUCAAGCAUCAUUGGGCGCGGUCAGUACUUGGGUGGGUGACCACCUGGGAACACUGCGUGCCGUU